rnacentral:sRNA from 1 species
UCCGUAGGUGAACCUGCGGAAGGAUCAUUAAAACAAUAAUGAAUGUCGGGUGGAGGGCGCUUCGGUGCUCUUACCCGUGUAUUCAACCAAACCCGCUCGUGUAUUUGGAUCAAAAAAACAAACAAAAUUUUUAACGAUAAUAAUUAAACAAACUUUCAACAACGGAUCUCUUGGCUCUCGCAUCGAUGAAGAACGCAGCGAAAUGCGAUAAGUAGUGUGAAUUGCAGAACUUUGUGAACCAUCGAAUCUUUGAACGCAAAUUGCGCCUUCUUUCGGAAGGCAUGUCUGUUUGAGGGCACCAUUUAACAAAUAAUGUGCGCGUCGUUUUUACGAGCGACGUGCACACGUUGAUGAGCUUUUCCGAAAAAACCAGGUUUUUUUGGUGGCGCAUAAUGAACAGCGUGGGCUUUUUCUUCGAUUCUCGUGUAGUAAAUGUUCAACGCUUGGGUUGAGAAAAAGUGCGUGCCGCGCAAUGGGUGUGGCGAAUUUUACCCCUGCCCCAAUGCCACUCUUUCCCUGCGAAAGAACAAUUUUUAUUCAGGGCCUCAAAUCAGACAAGAGUACCCGCUGAACUUAAGCAUAUCAAUAAGCGGAGGAAAAGAAACUAACAAGGAUUCCCCUAGUAACGGCGAGUGAAGCGGAAACAGCUCAAAUUUUAAAUCUGGCUGCUUUGUAGUCCGAGUUGUAAUUUGAAGGAGUCUUGCCGCUGGCAAAACGAUGGCACAAGUCCUCUGGAACGGGGCAUCGUAGAGGGUGAGAAUCCCGUCUCUGGUCAUCACGCGCUGGCAUAUGGCAGGCAUCCGAAGAGUCGAGUUGUUUGGGAUUGCAGCUCCAAAUGGGUGGUAAACUCCAUCUAAGGCUAAAUAUUGGCGAGAGGCCGAUAGCGAACAAGUACCGUGAGGGAAAGAUGAAAAGAACUUUGAAAAGAGAGUAAAACAGUACGUGAAAUUGUUGAAAGGGAAACGCUUGAAGU